rnacentral:lncRNA from 1 species
CCUGGCUCACUAAAACCUUUGGGUCUUCCUUUGCAAGGUCAGGUUCCUUAUGCACUGGGUGAUUUCCAACAUGGGUGUCUUACCGACGAUGUCCCUGAACACAGAACCUGACGUCUACAUGCAAUCAUGGCCUCUCAGUUGCUUAUUAAAGCAGAUAUCUUAAAGUUUAUAAGGUACUUUUGGGCUAUCCCUUCUGUCUCACAAGGCUUUUUGCUGCCACCUUGUGACUUCUGACCCUUCUGCCACUGAGAUAGAACUCUGCAUGUUUCUGUGAUGGAACAAAAGGCUUGGGGUGGGUGUCCCCUGUGAUACUGGUAAACCAGUAUUUACCCAGUAUUUACAAAAGCUACUGUUGUUUACAGCAAAACCACAGUGGGAAUAGAGGAAGUAUUCCAAACAGGAGUCACUAAUUCUUUUCUGGCUGUUUCAGCAUAAACACUAAUCAGUUACACUUCAACUUACAUACAUAUUGAUUGAGGCUCUCUUAAAAGGCCUUGUCACCAGGCUUCAUUCUUAUUUGUGAGAAUUUUUCUAGGUGAUUGUAAUAUAUCUUGGACAGGGUUCAUCCAAAAAUAGAUUGUAGUAAAAACUAUUGGAAAUUCUACCUUAAGGGUGGCAAAAUGUGAGUAUAAGAGGUUCUAAGUCCUGUAUCCUGUGCAGAUGGUAUACUAGUAGAAAGAAUGAAAUCUACCAUAAACAAAACCAAGCACACUUUUGUGGGGGGAACGUAAGCAUGGAGACAGCCUGUGGAACAGUAUGGUGCUGGGAAGUAAGGGCUAGAGAUAAGUAAAUUAGUGGGAGAAGAAAAUGACUGUGAGUGACUGUGUGUCCAGCUCAGUGGGAGAAAAUGCACACAUGGCAUUUGGAGGGAAUUGGGUUCCAUAUCCAGCACUUGUAAAAGAAAAGACAAUGAUUGUAAGAUAUGCCAGGGAUUCCAGUGGAGGGACAAGAAUCAUUGGCAGUACAAAGGACUGCCUGACCCUCAGAGAAGUGAAGUUCCAGGGAGUGGAGAUGUCUGGUGGGGUGGGGGUUGUGGGGGAGGACAUCCUCUUGGAGACAGGGGAGGAGGAACUGUCCUGUUGGAGGGCAGAGCUGGAGGGGGAUAAUGACUGAACUAUAUAAAAAAGAUUAAAGAAAAAGAAAAAGAAAAAGAAAAGAAAAGAAAGCCACAAAACAGAACUGGCACCAGCAGCCAGAAGCUUAUGGAGGAAGGUGAUGGGGGCUUCAUCCAGAGGGAGCUCUCCCAUCAUAACAAUGUAACUGUGACCACAAAGAUGUAAAAUCGUCCCUAGGACAUCCCAUGCUGGGGAUGAGAACAGCUUGGAGCCCUUGUUUCUGGAGGUGGCCUUCCCCCCAGGAAGAGAGUUUUAUAACCACAGCUAAAUCUACAUAUGUGUAUUCCUAGAUUCUGAAUCUUUUCUAGAAAAUAACUAUACAGAUGCAGGAGAGAAAGUGAGAAAGGAUGAACCUUUCUCUCCUUAGUUCUGGAAAAAUCUUUCACUGUAUCCAUUUCCUUUACUAACAAUUUUUGUCUUCCAGGUCUCUCAAGAAGGGAGCAAGUCGUGGACCUCAUACUCUUUUUCUAACAACAUGAGGCUUAUAGGCAUUUAUGACUGAGUCCUUGGUGACUGUCCUAGAUUACUAUCCUGAGAACUAGGAAGAGUGAUUGAGUGGGAAAUAAACGAGGCUUUGCACAGUGUGGCUUAUUCUUAUAUUCUCAGCACCUAGGAGGCAAGAGGAUUUCUAGCCUAGCAAAACAAUGAGAUCCAAAGUCAGUGGGAGACCUGGUCUCAAGAGAAUAAGGUGGAGAGUGAGAGCUGAUAACUGACAUCCUCCUCUGAUCCUCAGAACUCCACAGAUGUGCACACAGUCAUGUGCAUCUGUAUACAUGUACAUAUACCAACAACCACACACAUAAAAUUAUAAAAGAAGUAAACUGUGUUUGUGUGUGUGCGCGCGCGCACAUGAGCGCUUGCGUUAAAAUUAAAUUUUACAAAUGCCUAAGGCUGGAGUGGAUACAGGUAGAGCAAUCAGCACUUUCAAUCCUGACUAUUAAGAACACAAUUUGGUUUGAUUAAGAAAACGAUUUCCCUCUAUUAGCUGAAGCUCAGCAAACACCCUGUGUCAGCAUUUCAACUCUCUGAUCUGUAUCCAACAGAAAAGUGUGUGUCAGGAAAGGAAAUACAAGGAGAUGGCCACAGUGGUAAGUGCUGAUGAUAAUAAUAAUCCUAGGAGUUCAAAUCUCUGCCGGGAAGGCAAUGGAUGGAUUAACAAUAACAUAGCCAGAUUGAGAGGCUUUUACAAAUUUACUCGCCAAACAAAUGGUCCAGUUAAGACAUAUGAGGAGAAAGAGCCACAAACACCCACUGCUUGCUAUUUCUAGUGGAGGGAAGAUGUGGUUUCACACAAAGCCUUUGAACAUUUGAUCUUUCCAAACCACAAAACUCAGUUAACUGCAUGGUUUUAUGUCAAAGCCCUGUACCUUUAGCACUGCCCUCCUGGGACUCAGAUUGUCUUGUGUACCUCUUGUAUCUUCCACAGAUGUUUUAAGUUCAUUCACUAAAAAGAAAGGAGAGAGAGGAAAAAAAAGAAAGACAGAAAGAAAG